UAGUUUUACUCCUGAGUGAGUCAUCUAAUCAUCUGCAAACAGUUGAAAAGGGAGGCAGAAGGACAUAAGGGGGGGGCAAGAAGAGAGGAGGGGGAGUGACCAGAGAUGCCCAAGAUUUCAGAGCAAUUCUUUCCAUGGGCUGCUUUCAACAGAGAGUGAGAAGGCCUUCCACGGGCUAGAAGGCAAGCACUUCAGAUUGUGGAGAAGACAGGUGCCUUUUCACAUUUCCCUCCCCCUUCGUCAGUGGAGUCAGCUGCAAAAAAUGGGAGAAACAGCCCCCUUUUUAAAAGGUAUUAAAACACUGUCUGGACUAAACACAAACUAAUUUUGUAUGACACUCAUGUUCUAUAAUUUUUAAUGAAGCUUCUGCUCCUGCAAAUAUAGUUGAUGUUGGAAUUGGUGCAGGU